rnacentral:rRNA from 1 species
AGAGUUUGAUCCUGGCUCAGGACGAACGCUGGCGGCGUGCUUAACACAUGCAAGUCGAGCGAUGAAACACCUUCGGGUGUGAAUUAGCGGCGAACGGGUGAGGAACACGUGAAGAAUCUGCCUUCAACUCUGGGAUAACUCCGGGAAACCGGGGCUAAUACCGGAUAUGAGCCUCGAUCGCAUGAUUGGGGCUGGAAAGUUUUUCGGUUGAAGAUGACUUCGCGGCCUAUCAGCUUGUUGGUGAGGUAAUGGCUCACCAAGGCGACGACGGGUAGCCGGCCUGAGAGGGCGACCGGCCACACUGGGACUGAGACACGGCCCAGACUCCUACGGGAGGCAGCAGUGGGGAAUAUUGGGCAAUGGAGGAAACUCUGACCCAGCGACGCCGCGUGAGGGAUGAAGGCCUUCGGGUUGUAAACCUCUUUCAGUAGGGAAGAAGCGAAAGUGACGGUACCUACAGAAGAAGCACCGGCUAACUAUGUGCCAGCAGCCGCGGUAAUACAUAGGGUGCAAGCGUUGUCCGGAAUUAUUGGGCGUAAAGAGCUCGUAGGUGGUUCGAUACGUCGGAUGUGAAAAUCAGGGGCUCAACCCCUGACCUGCAUCCGAUACGGUCGAGCUAGAGUUUGGUAGGGGAGACUGGAAUUCCUGGUGUAGCGGUGGAAUGCGCAGAUAUCAGGAGGAACACCGAUGGCGAAGGCAGGUCUCUGGGCCAAUACUGACACUGAGGAGCGAAAGCGUGGGGAGCGAACAGGAUUAGAUACCCUGGUAGUCCACGCCGUAAACGGUGGGCGCUAGUUGUGCGAACCUUCCACGGUUUGUGCGACGCAGCUAACGCAUAAGCGCCCCGC